UACGGAGGUCCCAAGCGUUGUUCGGAUUCAUUGGGCGUAAAGGGUGCGUAGGCGGUGGGGUAAGUUGGAUGUGAAAUCUUGGGGCUUAACCUCAAAAUUGCAUUCAAUACUGCUCUGCUCGAGUUCUGUAGAGGAGAUUGGAAUUUACGGUGUAGCAGUGAAAUGCGUAGAUAUCGUAAGGAACGCCAGUGGCGAAAGCGAAUCUCUGGGCAGCAACUGACGCUGAGGCACGAAGGCCAGGGGAGCAAACGGG
rnacentral:rRNA from 1 species